CAAAAGUGGCAGUAGAAAGGGGAAGAGUUAUAAGGAGCAUUUCUGCUGAGGGACUUCAGAGCCUCAAAUGUCUAUUACAAGGAUAAUACUCCAAUACUGAGUUCCAAAAAGAUUUUUCUUCCUUCCCAAUAAUGGUAAAUAGCUACACUAGCUUUUACUCUAGAGUUUUGCUUUCGCUUGCGUGUGUAUAUAAAAUCCCUCCGGAAAUAGAAACUGAAUUUUUUCCUGUCAGUUAUCGCUGUUGAUUCAUUCAGUUUUCAAGCAAAUGAAAUUGCAGGUAAAUAAGAAUCGAAAGCAAAACUCUAGAGUAAAAGCUAGUGUAGCUAUU
rnacentral:misc_RNA from 1 species